AAAAGGUCGUACGCACAACAGUUUUUCAGGGUGUUGGUCAGCGAUACCCAAGACAGGGUUGCAUACUGAUACGGAAAGGCGUAGCUUGGCAAAAAAAUGGCAGAUAAUGCACUAAAUUUGUCAAAAUCUAGAAAUUCCUUUGCUUUUGUUAUGAGUUCUAAAACAGGUACCGUCAAGAAACAUGAAUAGUCUGGUUAAAAGUUCUUUUAAUGUCAAAAACUAUAAUUAUUAAAUUUCCAUAUGCCAAAGGUUGUGAUGAGUCAUUAAAAGGAAAUAUUGGCUAAAUGUUAUAGUGCUACAUUUCUAGGCCUUCAGUAGAUGUGAUAAUGGAGACCAUACGAGACUCCUCUUAUUAAGGUGCAUUUUUGGUGGCCAUGUGACGCUUUUAUAGUUUUCACCAAAUUACUGGGGUUCUAACGUGAAGACUGAAAUGCCAUUUUGCGAGCGCAGUACUUUUUUCAGCCUGAGAGCUGGUGGCGCUGUUUAAUCAAGAAAUUAAUUGGCCCACAGUGCCCCCAUCAGUAUUCAGGCUCCAAAUGGUACUGCAGCCCGUUAAUAAAUAAUACAUUUUGAAUUAAUCUUCAACUUGCUGACCAAGAGGCAUAUUAACCUUCACCCAGAAGGUAUGAUUGUCUCCAUUCCAUGUUGUAGGAAUGGUAUCUUGCACAGGGUAUUUCACUGUUCUGUGCCUUUUAGUUAAAACAAAAUUUGCCCAGACUGAUUUUUUUUUUUUUACUCCUUAAAUCUCCUUUGAGGAAGAUGACAAACUGCAUUAGUUACCACUUUUGGUGCAAUAGUAAAGAUAUUUUGCACUAUUAUUAUCUUUUUCCCACUUUUAACAAUGCAAUGUCAAAGUUGAAGGACUAUGAGGAAUACUCAAAAGAGGGGGGUCAUUUUUCAAACCGCGUUGUGUAUUAGAUUGUUGCAUUAUGGGAAUUUGAGCCGCAGAAUCUGCAUUAGGUUUGACAAAGCACCCCCCCCCUGCAGACCAUGUUCAAAGUGUACAGUAACUUGUAUAUAAGGUUUAAUGAAUAGCACAUGAAAUAUAAAUGAAUGUAUGUUUUGAUACAAUGUGAAUUGUAAAUAUAUAGUCCUGAAAUAUGUUGAUGAUGUCUAGCUUAUAUAUAUGAAUAUACUUCACCAUUUAAAAUUGGAUUUGUUCUUGA